CCUACGGGAGGCAGCAGUGGGGAAUAUUGGACAAUGGGGGAAACCCUGAUCCAGCGACGCCGCGUGAGUGAAGAAGUAUUUCGGUACGUAAAGCACUAUCAGCAGGAAAGAAAAUGAUGGUACUUGACUCAGAAGCCCCGGCUAACUACGUGCCAGCAGCCGCGGUAAUACGUAGGGGGCAAGCGCUAUCCGGAUUUACUGGGUGAAAAGGGAGCGUAGACGGCAGCGCAAGUCUGGAGUGAAAUGCCGGGGCCCAACCCCGGAACUGCACUGGAAACUGUGAAGCUGGAGUGCAGCAGAGGGAGGCGGAAUUCCUGGUGUAGCGGUGAAAUGCGUAGAUAUCAGGAGGAACACCGGCGGCGAAGGCGGCUUCCUGGACUGUGACUGACGUUGAGGUUUGAAGGCGUGGGGAGCAAACAGGAUUAGAUACCCUAGUAGUC
rnacentral:rRNA from 1 species